UCGUAGUCGGANUUCNGUAGGCUCAGUUAAGUCUCUUCUAUUGAGUUCUUUAUGGGCCUGCUUCUUUGACAGAAACUUCUAUGUUAUUCAUUUAGCGUGGGUAGCGACUGUCUCUUUUACUUUGAGAAAAUAAGAGUGUUCAAAGCAGGUAUUCGCCUGAAUAUUACUCUUGGAAUAAUGCUAUAAGACUUUGGUUCUAAUGUAUUGGUGAUUGGGACCAGAGUAAUGAUUGAUAGGGACGGUUGGGGUCUUACGUACUGCAAAGCGAGAGGUGAAAUUCUUGGACCUUUGUAUGACGAACAACUGCGAAAGCAUUGGACUAGGACGUUCCCGUUGAUCAAGAGCGAAAGUUGGGGGAUCGAAGACGAUCAGAUACCGUCGUAGUCUCAACCAUAAACUAUGCCAGCUAGGGAUCGGAGGACGUUACAUGUUCGACUCCUUCGGCACCUUAUGAGAAAUCAAAGCAUUUGGGUUCCGGGGGGAGUAUGGUCGCAAGGCUGAAACUUAAAGGAAUUGACGGGAGGGCACCACCAGGAGUGGAGCCUGUGGCUUAAUUUGACUCAACACGGGAAAACUUACCAGGUCCGGACAUAGUAAGGAUUGACAGAUUGAAAGCUCUUUCUUGAUUCUAUGGGUGGUGGUGCAUGGCCGUUCUUAGUUGGUGGAGUGAUUUGUCUGGUUAAUUCCGUCAACGAACGAGACCUCAGCCUGCUAAAUAGUGUCAUUCUCUUCGGAAGAUGUGCACUUCUUAGAGGGACUACUUGUGAAACAACCAAGCGGAAGCUUGAGGCAAUAACAGGUCUGUGAUGCCCUUAGAUGUUCUGGGCCGCACAUGGGCUACACUGGUGCAUUCAACAAGCAUAAUCACCUUAACCGANNGGUUUGGGUAAUCUUUGAAAUUGCACCGNGCUUGGGAUAGACUAUUGCAAUUUUANUCNUCAACGAGGAAUUCCUAGUAAACGCAAGUCAUCAGCUUGCAUUGAUU
rnacentral:rRNA from 1 species